rnacentral:rRNA from 1 species
UACAGAGGUCUCAAGCGUUGUUCGGAUUCAUUGGGCGUAAAGGGUGCGUAGGUGGCGAGGUUAGUCAGGUGUGAAAUCUCGGGGCUCAACCCCGAAACUGCACUUGAUACUGCCUUGCUAGAGUACUGGAGAGGAGAUUGGAAUUUACGGUGUAGCAGUGAAAUGCGUAGAUAUCGUAAGGAAGACCAGUGGCGAAGGCGAAUCUCUGGACAGUUACUGACACUGAGGCAAGCGAAGGCCCAGGGGAGCAAAACGGG